rnacentral:tRNA from 1 species
GAGGGUAUACCUCAGUGGCAGAGCACAUGCUUGGCAUGCACUAGGUCCUGGGUUCAAACCCCACUACCUCCA